rnacentral:rRNA from 1 species
GGGCCCGCACAAGCGGUGGAGCAUGUGGUUUAAUUCGAUGAUACGCGAGGAACCUUACCAGGGCUUAAAUGUAGUGGGACAGGUCUAGAGAUAGACCCUUCUUCGGACUCAUUACAAGGUGCUGCAUGGUUGUCGUCAGCUCGUGCCGUGAGGUGUCAGGUUAAGUCCUAUAACGAGCGCAACCCCUAUCGUUAGUUGCCAGCGGGUAAUGCCGGGAACUCUAGCGAAACUGCCGGUGCAAACCGAGAGGAAGGUGGGGAUGACGUCAAAUCAUCACGGCCCUUACGUCCUGGGCUACACACGUGCUACAAUGGCCGGUACAGAGAGCAGCCACUACGCGAGUAGGAGCGAAUCUAUAAAACCGGUCUCAGUUCGGAUCGCAGUCUGCAACUCGACUGCGUGAAGCUGGAAUC